rnacentral:rRNA from 1 species
UACGGGGGGGGCAAGCGUUGUUCGGAUUUAUUGGGCGUAAAGGGCUCGUAGGCGGUCCGUCACGUCGGGAGUGAAAACUCAGGGCUCAACCCUGGACCUGCAUUCGGUACGGGCAGACUAGAGUUCGGCAGGGGAGACUGGAAUUCCUGGUGUAGCGGUGAAAUGCGCAGAUAUCAGGAGGAACACCGGUGGCGAAGGCGGGUCUCUGGGCCGAAACUGACGCUGAGGAGCGAAAGCGUGGGGAGCAAACAGG